CUUUAGCUCAGUUGGUUAGAGCAUCUGACUGUUAAUCAGGGGGUCGUAGGUUCAAGUCCUUCAAGG
rnacentral:tRNA from 1 species